AACGAGUUACACAAGAUUACAAACUAUGUACCAUGCCUAAAAUAUACAGGUGGCAUGGUACUCCAUACAAUACAAAUCAAUUAAAUAAAUUAAAGGCAUAUGAUAGGUUGAAUAACACUUGAACCUCAAAGUCACAUGUGGACACAAAAACAACAAAUGGGGUUAGUAUGCAUUAACAAAAUGGAAUUAAAAUGGAUUUAAAAUGCUAAACAA
rnacentral:lncRNA from 1 species